rnacentral:rRNA from 1 species
GACUAACGUUGGCGGCGUGCGUAAUACAUGCAAGUCACACGGGAUUGGGGCAACUCAAUUCAGUGGCGAACGGGUGAGUAACACGUGGAUGAUCUACCCUUAAGAUCGGGAUAACUAGCCGAAAGGUUAGCUAAUACCGGGUAUGACCACGGUCUGUAUCGUCAGAUCGAGGUAAGAGCAGGGGACCGCAAGGCCUUGCGCUUAAGGAUGAGUCCGCGGCUGAUUAGCUAGUUGGCGGGGUAAUGGCCCACCAAGGCGACGAUCAGUAGCCGGCCUGAGAGGGUGACCGGCCACACUGGGACUGAGACACGGCCCAGACUCCUACGGGAGGCAGCAGUAGGGAAUUUUCCACAAUGGGCGAAAGCCUGAUGGAGCAACGCCGCGUGAGGGAUGAAGGUUUUCGGAUCGUAAACCUCUUUGGAGCGGGAAGAACGGCGGUUGGGUGAAUAAUCCAGCCGCGUGACGGUACCGCUAGAACAAGACACGGCUAACUCUGUGCCAGCAGCCGA